UAGGGAAUCUUCUACAAUGGACGAAAGUCUGAUGGAGCAACGCCGCGUGAGUGAAGAAGGUCUUCGGAUCGUAAAGCUCUGUUGUUGGUGAAGAAGGAUAGAGGCAGUAACUGGUCUUUAUUUGACGGUAAUCAACCAGAAAGUCACGGCUAACUACGUGCCAC
rnacentral:rRNA from 1 species